UUCCGACGACCUUUUCCCUUGC
rnacentral:siRNA from 1 species